UACGAAGGGGGCUAGCGUUGUUCGGAAUCACUGGGCGUAAAGCGCGCGUAGGCGGAUUAGCAAGUCAGAGGUGAAAGCCCAGGGCUCAACCUUGGAACUGCCUUUGAAACUGCUAAUCUAGAAUCUCGGAGGGGGUAGCGGAAUUCCAAAUGUAGGGGUGAAAUCCGUAGAUAUUUGGAGGAACACCGGUGGCGAAGGCGGCUACCUGGACGAGUAUUGACGCUGAGGUGCGAAAGCGUGGGGAGCAAACAGG
rnacentral:rRNA from 1 species